rnacentral:rRNA from 1 species
AGAGUUUGAUCCCUGGCUCAGAUUGAACGCUGGCGGCAGGCUUAACACAUGCAAGUCGAGCGGUAACAGAGAUAGCUUGCUAUCUGCUGACGAGCGGCGGACGGGUGAGUAAUGCUUGGGAAUAUGCCUUUAGGUGGGGGACAACAGUUGGAAACGACUGCUAAUACCGCAUAAUGUCUACGGACCAAAGAGGGGGACCUUCGGGCCUCUUGCCUUUAGAUUAGCCCAAGUGAGAUUAGCUAGUAGGUAAGGUAAUGGCUUACCUAGGCGACGAUCUCUAGCUGGUUUGAGAGGAUGAUCAGCCACACUGGGACUGAGACACGGCCCAGACUCCUACGGGAGGCAGCAGUGGGGAAUAUUGCACAAUGGGCGCAAGCCUGAUGCAGCCAUGCCGCGUGUGUGAAGAAGGCCUUCGGGUUGUAAAGCACUUUCAGUCGUGAGGAAAGGGUGUAGUUUAAUACGCUGCACCCUGUGACGUUAGCGACAGAAGAAGCACCGGCUAACUCCGUGCCAGCAGCCGCGGUAAUAC